rnacentral:rRNA from 1 species
UGGGGAAUAUUGCACAAUGGGCGCAAGCCUGAUGCAGCCAUGCCGCGUGUAUGAAGAAGGCCUUCGGGUUGUAAAGUACUUUCAGCGGGGAGGAAGGGAGUAAAGUUAAUACCUUUGCUCAUUGACGUUACCCGCAGAAGAAGCACCGGCUAACUCCGUGCCAGCAGCCGCGGUAAUACGGAGGGUGCAAGCGUUAAUAGGAAUUACUGGGCGUAAAGCGCACGCAGGCGGUUUGUUAAGUCAGAUGUGAAAUCCCCGGGCUGAACCUGGGAACUGCAUCUGAUACUGGCAAGCUUGAGUCUCGUAGAGGGGGGUAGAAUUCCAGGUGUAGCGGUGAAAUGCGUAGAGAUCUGGAGGAAUACCGGUGGCGAAGGCGGCGCCCUGGACGAAGACUGACGCUCAGGUGCGAAAGCGUGGGGAGCAAACAGG